AGGAAGGAGCUUUCUAGUAAACAUCUUGUGUUACAGUUACAUCUUCAUAGAAAAUCACUACCCAGAUGGAAACUGAGUCUGUCUAUGGACUUGACACUAAACCUUUGGCCAAGUUCUUAAGAAAAUCGGGAUUUCCUUAUAUACAGGGAAGGUUUUGGAAUUUUCCUUAUUCUCCCUGGCUUCUAGGAAUUCUCAGAGACUCAUGCAGAGAAGAAAUCAGCCAGAGAAGACCAUAUGAAGUCAGCCACUCAAGUCAGUCAUGCUGUGCUAGCUCACAUUUAACAAGAUCUUGAAUUUCUUUGGUGGAAAGAAAACUGCUAUCUUUACUACUGUUGGUUUCUUGUUCUUCCAAAUGCUUUUUAUCUAAAGCAAUUGAGAGAGAAAAGGAACAACAGUACUGAGACCAAACUGAGGAGGAGCCUGGAAACAGAGCUACUGAAAUAGGAGAAGUGAAGAGAGGGCUCACAUGGUUAAGGAACUUUCAUAAAAUCAAAUCAAAAAGAUAAAAAAUCAAAAAGAUAAGUAGAAAAAUUGAGAUUGAAUCCAGGUAGUCUUAGCUCUAAAGUUUACGCUCUUUUGAUUUUAAAAACAGAUUUAAAGAUUCAAAAAUUUGUAUUAGUAUGAAUAUGUAUAUAUGUGUGGAUGUAUGUGCCUUGUAUCCACGGAGAUCAUAAGAAGGCUUCAGAUCCCCUGGACCUGAGCUACAGAUGGUUGUGAGCCACCAUGUGGGUGCAGAGAACCAAACCCGGGUCCUCUGCAAGAGCAAGUGUCCUUCACUGCUGAGCCAUCUUUCCAGCCCCCAAUCUUGAUUUUAUACUCUUUCAGCAGAGCCAUCCACAAGUGUCUCCAUCUCUACUAGCCUAUAUGUCAUGUUUUUACUAUGAAUAUCCAUAUUCCCACUUCCUUAAAGAAAUGCUCACUAGACCAAGAUCAGCAGAUGCUAAACUCACUGGCUGCUCUGCAUUUGUUAGGAGCUUGUUUCUUUCAAAAUGCUCUUCAGAGCAAAGCAGAGAAACAGCUGGGGCCACCCCAAACUCACUUUGAGGAGGAGGAGGAGGAGCUGUGUCUGGCAGUGCUCGUCUGCUCCCUCCCUACUGUUGGUGAACUGCUGCUACCUGACAGCUCUUGAGCAUCAAGAGGACCUGGAAGAUCACUUAAAUCAGGAUUUUAUCUUCACCAGUCCCUGGCUGCUCUUAAAUGGUGGCCUAUAUCCUAGAGUUCUAAAAGACCUUUCCCUUUAAGGCUCCUGUUGGAGCCUAGACCUCUGGAUAGGAACCCUCCAAAAAAGCAGGGGACAGGUCCUGACUACUCCCUUGGGGUCUUUUCAGAUAAAACAACAGUGAUAAUAAUACAAUUACCUGAGUUCACUAGGUCAAAGGAGAGGCGCUGAAGGUUAUGCUAAAGAGCCCAGAGGAUGGCUAUGCCUUGAGUCAGAGCAUUAAGUCCUAGUUCCUUAAGAUUCACAAGACCUCAGAGAUCCUGAACACUAACUAGUGCCACCUUGACCAAUUCUCUGUAGGCCCUAUACCAAGAAAUGGACCAUCAUAGACAAGAGGAGAGGGACCCUCUAAAGAUAAGGGCUGGUCAAACAGGUUGUUGGAGAAACAGACUGCCUGCUUCCAAGGUCUCUAUAACAAUACACUAUUGCUUUAAACAUCUGCCCAGCUGUAAAUAAAAUUGAGUUUCUAUUUCUCAGUAGCCUCCCAAAAUGGAAAAUUCUAGUCUCAUCAGGUUUUUCUCUCACUGACUUCUGGGGAAUUAUAAAAGGGAUUUAUUUAUUUAUUCACAACCCUGUGGUGAUAUUUUAUUUGUGCUUUAAUAAAUAAAGCUUGCCUGGAGAUCAGAGGAAUAGGAACUGCCAUUAUAAGUAAACACAAAAGUCAUGCAAUGUUAACACACGCCUUUAAUCCUAUCACUUGGCAGGCAGGGAUCUGUCUGGAUUUCUGUGAGUUCAAAGCCACACUGAAAACAGCCAGGUGUGGUGGCACACGCCUUAAAUUCCAACAAUAGUUAACUAAGGAGGUCUGGAGGUCUGUGCAGACAGACAGGAAGUGAUAGAGCUGGGCAGGAAGAGGAAGUGAUGUAGCUGGACAAAGAAAGCAAAUCAGAUGGCAGAACAGCAAGGCAUAUAGGCAUGGGUAGACAGGAAGUCGCUCGCAUUUAGAAGCUGCAGAGUUGGUGAGGUGAGGUUAGCUUGUGGCUUUUCCUAUUAUUCUGAUCUCUCUCAGGCUUUAACCCCUAUAUCUGGCUCUGUGUUUUUUUUAUUUAAUAAGACUGUUUAGAAAUUCAUCUACAU